rnacentral:lncRNA from 1 species
GGCGGCGACUCAGUGCCCCGACCGCGGCGGGCUCUUGCCGCGGCCUCACUGUCAGCGUUUGGUGCGGCUCUCGCAAGGGCCGGGCCCUGCCGUCUAUAUCUCCGAGCCUGCCCGGCCGGGUCAGAAAGUGCGGGCGCUCCUGCCCGACGGCUGGGGAGACAAGCCGAGCGCGCCGCUCGUCCCCAGCCGGAACCAGAGCGGCGGCGGCGGCGGCGGCCCACAGCGAGCAGCCCUCGCACCUGCCGGGCAAGACGCCGUCCUGGUUUUGGACCCCAGUCCCGGCGCCAACUUCGGCCACCCGCUCCUGCUCUUCUACGUCGACUUCAAUGUCAGCCCGCGUCGGUGCCGCAGCCGCCAACGACUCUACCUGGGAAGCUAUGAAUGCUUGACUCCUGUACAGAGAAAUCACUGUGAGAACCAGCUAAAGCGCAGACCAGGACGUGGCAAGGGGCGGAGCCAGCGCUCAGCGGGACACAUGCGCCACGAGGAGCCACCAGUAGGGUUUUGUGAGAUACAUUUUCUGCCCCUGAUAGUGGUGGCACAGGAUCUGAAACACCUGCAAAAAUUGCACUGCAUAGAUCUCCAUGGGUACAGCCCAUGUCCACAGCCGCUGCCUCUUGUCAGUUCUAGUUCCACGGCUGCCUACUGCGAACUCAACAAGAAUACACGGCGGUGUCAUCGCCAGCAGGCUCCGAUGUACAAGUUGUGCCGCAUGUAUCAGACAUGUGAUCAUGCAGUACUGAUUGCAGGUGGCUGGCAGGAGCAGGUCACCUAUCCCCACCAUGCCCAGAACCUGUUGCUUUUCUACCAGAUGCUUCGACGAAAUGGUUUCCGCCAAGAGCAUAUCAAGGCUUUCUUUGCCAAUGAGGGACAGGCUUCAGUGGAGAUGGGAAACGUGCAACCAGCCACAGAGAAGUUGGCUAUCCGGUCCCACUUGGCACUUAUCUGCCGUAGCCUGCACUGUGCCGACACUCUGGUACUCUACCUCAACAGUCCAGCUUCCAGUGAUGGCACCAUGUUCUUGUGGGAUGCUAACCAUAAUGGCAUCGUUGACCCUAAGGAGCGAUACGCCAUCUCAGAGCUCUUAACAGACUUGGAAAGUUGCAAUGCCCGACGGGUCCUGCUCUUUCUUGACCAGAGCUAUCCAGGGCCAUUGGUCAAGAAGCUUCAGGCAUCGCAGCGCCAUCCCAAUGUAGUGUUGGUACAUAGCACCACUGCCCUCCGAAGUGGAUCAGCUUUUGCUGAAUUCUGGGCAGAACUGCAACCUGACCAAUGUCUACUUCAGCAUACCUUGCCGGUGGGUUCGUGGUCUGCAGUCUUCGCCUCUGGUACUCCAAUCCAGCUGCUCAAUGUCACAUUAGCAGGAGCCCCUUGCCAUUCUGUGCCACCCUUAGGAGAGGAAGAACGCCAGCGUCGCUACCAUGGCUGCCAAAAUCUUCCCACCAUGUUGUGGUAUCAGAGCAGGCACCAACAGGAACUACAGCAGGAUGACUGAUCAUGAUGGGCACUGUUUUGGGAGAGCCUAUGAGGCCCAGAGCCUUGUUAUGUAACCAGAGGCCCUUUCCUCCAAGGAGGUGUUUUUUUGUUUUUUGUUUUGGUGGCUUUGAGGGACCCAGCUGCAGUUAACACCAACAGUCAUCCAAUGGGUGGAUGUGAUACUGUUGCUGGACAUUGCCAUAGUAGGGAGAAACUUUCCUAGUAAUUUGUCUACAGUGGACUCUACAAAGUUCCAAGGCAAACUUGAGAGAAGCACAUGUGCCACUGUUGGUUCUUGUAUAUUGUUAAACAUAAACACAGAUGAGAAAAUGUUAGACCACAAGUGGGGGCAUGAGACUGGAAGAUUCCAGUCAUAAGUCAGAAUAUAUCUGGGGGGGAGGGGGAACAGACUUCUAGGGUAACAACUAAUGCCAGGGAGAGUAAGCAAUGCACAGUGGAGUAAGCACAAGUGUAAAGGAGAAAAGCAUCUAUGCUAAUGUACAAAUUGUGUUCUCGUGUAUGGGAAUCUCUUCCCCCCAUGCAUAUAUCAAUUUCCCCCUCACACCUUUCUCCAUAUAAUACUCAGAACAUCCUGAUAAAACAGGAGUGGGUGGGAAGAACAAGUUUUGAAACAAUCAAGCUCUUGAAUAAAAAUAAAAAACAGUUCUCA